GACGAACGCUGGCGGCGUGCUUAACACAUGCAAGUCGAACGGGAAGGCCCUGCUUUUGUGGGGUGCUCGAGUGGCGAACGGGUGAGUAACACGUGAGUAACCUGCCCUUGACUUUGGGAUAACUUCAGGAAACUGGGGCUAAUACCGGAUAGGAGCUCCUGCUGCAUGGUGGGGGUUGGAAAGUUUCGGCGGUUGGGGAUGGACUCGCGGCUUAUCAGCUUGUUGGUGGGGUAGUGGCUUACCAAGGCUUUGACGGGUAGCCGGCCUGAGAGGGUGACCGGCCACAUUGGGACUGAGAUACGGCCCAGACUCCUACGGGAGGCAGCAGUGGGGAAUAUUGCACAAUGGGCGGAAGCCUGAUGCAGCAACGCCGCGUGCGGGAUGACGGCCUUCGGGUUGUAAACCGCUUUCGCCUGUGACGAAGCGUGAGUGACGGUGAUGGGUAAAGAAGCACCGGCUAACUACGUG
rnacentral:rRNA from 1 species